rnacentral:ncRNA from 1 species
GUACUUGUGUGAAUAUAUCGAACAUGUAUAGUAAUAAAAGCGGGGUGGAGCAGUAGUAGCUCGCAAGGCUCAAAUGGGCUCAUUCAGCAGUAAUGCUGGAUGGAACAUCUGUCAAAGUCGGUGAAAUCUUAUUCGCAGUGCGAAGUGACAAUACCGAGCCAAGUCCAGAGAGUAAUCGAAGGAAAGGUGUAGAGACUAGACGGCAGAUUCCCGAACGUAAAGUCGAGGGAAAAGGUAUAGUCCAGACCACAAAUCUUAUCCAUUGGG